UAAGACGAACCGUCCAAACGUUAUUCGGAAUCACUGGGCUUAAAGGGUGCGUAGGCGGCGCGGAAAGUUGGGUGUGAAAUCCCUCGGCUCAACCGAGGAACUGCGCCCAAAACUACCGUGCUCGAGGGAGAUAGAGGUGAGCGGAACUUAGGGUGGAGCGGUGAAAUGCGUUGAUAUCCUAAGGAACACCGGUGGCGAAAGCGGCUCACUGGAUCUCUUCUGACGCUGAGGCACGAAAGCUAGGGUAGCGAACGGGAUUAGAUACCCCGGUAGUCCUAGCCGUAAACGAUGAGCAC
rnacentral:rRNA from 1 species